GUUCUUCUGGUCCCUGUACGAAUGAUGGAACAUGUACUUUCUAUGGACCAGUUUAUAAUUGUACGUGUAAACCUGUAUAUUACGGGAAUAUUUGCCAGUUUUCGCCAUGUUAUGUGGGUCCAUGUAAGAACAAUGGAACAUGUAGUGUAUCUGGGUCAACUUAUUCUUGCGCCUGUACACCCGGAUAUUACGGAACGGACUGCGAGUUAACGCCAUGUACCUCGGGUCCAUGUCAGAACGAUGGAACAUGUAGUGUAUCUGGGUCCAUUUAUUCUUGCGCAUGUCCACUCGGAUAUUACGGAACGG